rnacentral:rRNA from 1 species
CUAAUAUAUUUUUAACGUCUAAUUAGUUCGGGUAAUUAUUCGGAUAAUCAUUCAAAAAUGAAGACCAAAAGCUCGUUACUCUUUGUUUCCCUAUAAUUGGGGCCACAGUUGGGCUCUGUCCAUUUAUUCACUCGACCCGACUUGAAAUUGAUUUUCCAAUUUCUUUUUUUCCGCCACACCAAGAAUUCAAACAAUUUAAACAAGGUUUUGGACAUAUCCAGAAAGAAUGAAAUAUUCUCAGAAUUCUCCAUUGAUACGACAUGCUACUUUUUCCAUUCAUUCCUUUCAGGAUCAGUCGCGGUCUUACAAACUCUACCGGUGGUAUGGACGAAUCCGUUGCUUCAUACAAAUGUGUAAAAGAUGCUAGCCGCACUUAAAAGCCGAGUACUCUACCGUUGAGUUAGCAACCCGAAUAAAAGAAUUAGAAUGUGUAGAUACAAUCAGAAUCCCAAUAAAAUAAAUAAAGAGGUUGAAUUGCACGGCGUAAUCACAACAUUGAAUUUGAAAUGGCAAAACAAAUUGUAUCAUACAAAAAAAAAACUUCUUGUAUUACAGAAAAUCCAAUGAACCCAUUCCUUGAAUGAAAUCAAUCAAAUCUAUGGCACGGAGAAAAAUAGAUCCAUUUAUCCACGAUCGAAUUAUAUUUAUUCGAUACACUGUUGUCAAUAUGAGUAUUUGAGAAAAGAAUACAAUAGAGAACUAGAAAAAAAUAAAAUAUUGUAAAUUUUAAUAAAAAAAAUAAGGACUUGUGUUGGAUUGGCACUACAUAGCUAAUCGACAUAUAGACAAAUAAGGGAUGUAGACGUAAGAAAAAAGUAAUAAAGAAAAAAAAAGAAGAAGUAGAAAAAAGCUCGAAUUUAGUCAAUCAAUCAAUAUAAGUAAAAGAAAAAAGCUUAAUCCCCCUUUUUAUUUGUUCAUAGAAAUCCAACUAACCCCCAUUACCAUUAAUGGUAAUACCCAAAAUCGAAAGUAGGAAUAACAAAUUAAAAGAGAAUAGCAGAGAAAAGACUAUACAAAGCUCUCUACAAGUGAUCUCCACCUUCUUUAUUUAUAUAUUUCUUAUAUAUUUCAUUUUGAUAUAUUUCAUUAAAGGUAAGUUCCAUAAGAACCCCCGCUUUCUUUGAAAUAUCAUGAACAAUUCCUGUAGGCUGAGCACCUAUUUUAAGGAAAUAUAGAAUAACAUGAACAUUUAAAUAGGUUUGAUUCUUUAUCGGGUCAUAAAACCCACUUUUCGAAUAUCUCUUCCUUCUCUUCUAGAUCGAACAUCAAUUGCAAUGAUUCAAUAAAUGGCUCAUUGGGGUAGAUGAACAAUACACCCCCAGAAACAUAUAAGAAGUUUUCUCCUCGUAUGGCUCAAGAAAAUUUGAAAUUAUAUCUAUGUAUAGAAUGAUAAGGUCAAAUAUAUCCAUAAAAUCAUCAAAUCAACUAUGACUUUCUUAAGGUAGCCAAAUGUCUCGUCAUCUAAUUAGUGACGCGCAUGAAUGAAUUAAUGAGAUUCCCACUGUCCCUGUCUACUAUCUAGUGAAACCACAGCCAAGGGAACAGGCUUAGCAGAAUCAGCAGGGGAAGAAGACCCUGUUGAGCUUGACUCUAGUCUGACUUUGUGAAAUGACUUGAGAGGUGUAGUACAAGUGGGAGCUGAAAACGGCGAAAGUGAAAUACAACUACUUUUAACGUUAUUUUACUUAUGCCAUGAAUCGGAAGUGGGGCACUGCCACUCUUUUCGGACCCAAGGCCUGCCUCGACUGGCCGAUCUGGGUGGAAGAUAUUGUUAGGUUGGAGUUUGGCUGGGGUGACACAUCUGUUAAAAGAUAACGUAGGUGUCCUAAGAUGAGCUCAACGAGAACAUAAAUCUUGUGUGGAAAAAAAGGGUAAAAGCUCGGUUGAUUCUGAUAUCUAGUAUGAAUACGAACCGCGAAAGAGUGGCCUAUCGAUCCUUUAGACCUUCAGAAUUUGAAGCUAAGGGUGUCAGAAAAGUUACCACAGGGAUAACUGGCUUGUGGCAGCCAAGCGUUCAUAGCGAUGUUGCUUUUUGAUCCUUUGAUGUUGGCUCUUCCUAUCAUUGUGAAGCAGAAUUCACCAAGUGUUGGAUUGGUCAUCCACCAAUAGGGAACAUAAGAUGGGUUUAGACCAUUGUGAGACAGGUUAGUUUUACCCUACUGAUGAUAGUGUCACAAUAGUAAUUCAACCUAGUACGAGAGGAACUCUUGAUUCGCACAAUUAGCCAUUGCACUUGGUUGAAAAGCCAAUGGUGUGAAACCACCGUGUGCUGGAUUAUAACUGAACACUCUAAGUCAUAAUCUGGGCUAGAAGCGAUGCAUGCACCGUCGCCCGUUUGCCGACCUACAGUAAGGGCCUUGUCCCCCAAAGGUAUGUGUCAUUGUCCAAGCCCGUGCGGUGGACAUACCGUGUGGGUCGCCUUAAAGUUCAAUUCCUACCGAGAGACGGGUAGAAUCCUUUGUACAUGACUCAAAUACGUGAUGGGGUAUUGUAAGUGGUAGAGUGGCCUUGCUACCACGAUCCACUCAGAUUCAGCCAU